ensembl:rRNA 5S_rRNA 5S ribosomal RNA
GCCUACGGCCAUACCAGCCCAAUAAACGCCCGGUCUCGUCUGAUCUCGGAGAGCUAAGAAGGCUUGGGCCUGGUGUACUUGGAUGGGAGACCUCCUGGGAAUACCAGGUGCUGUAAGCU